GCGUCGGCUGGGCAAAGGAGCGCCCAGGUGGCUGUAACCCACCCGCCCUCGGGCAUUGCAGGUUCGAGUCCUGCUCGACGCA
rnacentral:tRNA from 1 species